GGUUACACUAUGACCACAUGGCUUCCUGUGAGUCCUCGACAGAAGUACAGCCCAUGAGUGGAUCCACUGGGCCCCAGAAGUGGGUGUUCAUUCCCCCUGAAUUUGCCCUAACAUCAUAUGCUGCUACAGCUUCUUAAAAAGACUAGAAACCCAGCUAGUAUACAGAAUAUAAAAUGACACUUCGGUGAGCCAUCAACUUCCUAUUUUAUUUAAAAGGGAAAUAAAAGAUCGGGGAGGCGAUGCUAAGUCUGUUUUUUGUUUUUUUUUUUCAGUUGAAUUGGCAAGUCUUAUUUAUUCUUUUUUUUUUAAUUUAUUUUCCCACUGUAAGCAAGGGGGUCAGGUUAUCCUUACAUGUAUACAUUACAAUUACAUUUUUCCCCCACCCUUUGUUCUGUUGCAACAUGAGUAUCUAGACAUAAUUCUCAAUGUUAAGUCUGUUUUCUGCAUCUCCUGGUCAAGCAGCUGCCUCUUUCAUGAUGAGACCAGUCCAGGGAUUGCUGGGGGCGGUCAGCAUCUCCAGGGCAUGGCCCAGCCAAUGAAGCCACCUGCAUACUGCCUUGCCCUCUGCUGCCUGAUUUCUCAGAAGCCAGUAAGGGAGAUUGCUUUUGUUAGCUUGUGGCCACCAGGUUCUCAGGCUGGACCUGGCUCUUGAGGUGCUUUGGAGGGUCUUCCGUGGCUGCUCAAGGGGUCCCAGGGCAGACAUGUGACCCGCAGUCUGUGAUCUGCACUUACAGUUUCCGGAGGGAGGAGUCAUCUAAUGAGCUUCAGAAAGACUCCCGAAACUGUGACUCAUGGUGCCAGAGUCGUAAGAAUAAAGCAAAGAUGUUGAUUAUGAAAGACA
rnacentral:lncRNA from 1 species